rnacentral:lncRNA from 1 species
CACUGAGCCACAUCCCCAGCCCUAUUUUGUGUUUUAUUUAGAGACAGGGUCCCACUGAGUUGCUUAGUACUUUGCAGUUGCAGAGGCUGGUUUUGAACUUGGGAUGCUCCUGCCGUAGCCUCCUGAUCCACUGGGAUUACAGGCGUGUGCCACCGUGCCCAGCUGUAUAUUAUUAUUAAUGGGACACAUUUGGUAUAAUACUUUGUAGCUCAUAUUGUGAACAUAUUUGCAUGUUAACAAAUAUCAACAUAGGUGAAUUUCAUGCUUCUUUUACUCUAGGAAAACUUUGUUUAAAAUACCAUUUUCCAAACUAGGUAUGGUGGCACAUGCCUGUAGUCUCAGCGACUUGGGAGGCUGAGGAAGGAGGAUCACAAAUUUGAGGCUAACCUCAGCAAUUUAGCAAGGCCCUAAGCGACUUAGUGAGACCUUAUCUUAAAAUUAAAAGUAAAGCUGGGAGUGGUAGACCAUGCCUGUAAUCCCAGCAGUUUCGGAGGCUGGAGCAGGAGAAACUCAGAUUCAAAGCCAGCCUCAGCAACUGCUAAGUGCUAAGCAACUCAGUGAUACCCUGUCUCUAAAUAAAAUGCAUGAUAGGGCUGGGGACGUGACUCAGAGGUCAAGUGCCCCUGAGUUUAAUCCCCGGUACCAAAAAAUUAAAAAGGGCUGGGGAUGUGGUUCAGUGGUAGAUCAUCCUUAGGUUCAAUCCUCAGUACCGAAUAAAUAAAACCUCAAAAUUUUUUAAAUGCCGUUUUCAGGAGCCGAAUAUGUAAUCAUCCAAUAAUUGUCAUUUUGCAUAUUGAGCCCAUCAGAUGUCUCGCAUCAAGCAUCCCUGCUCAACUGCCUUUUAAGUACUGAGGAUUGAACCCAGAGGUGCUCUACCACUGAGCUACAGCCCCAGUUCAGUUGUUCAGUUGUUUGUGGAUUUUUUGUUUUGUUUUGUUUUGUUUUUUGUUUUGUUUUGUUUUUUGUUUUGUUUUGUUUUGUUUUUUGUUUUGUUUUGUUUUGUACUAGGGAUUGAACCCAUGGCCUGUGCAUACAAGACAAGCACUCUACCAACCAAGCUGUAUUCCCAGCACCCCCUCCAGUUAUUUUUAUUUUAGGGUCUUUCUAAGUUGCUAAGGCUGGCCUUGAACUUCAAUCCUCCUGCCUCAGUCUUGGAAGUGCCCAUUCUCUUUAAAGCCUGCAGAUAUUGAAAAUACAGAGAACCUACCUUCCAUAUUGAAACACAAUGACUCAAUACACAUACUUCCAUGUAUACUUUUAUCCUCUUCUGAAAUGAAAUCUUUACAAAUGGAUUAUUAAGGUCAGAGACCAACCUUGAUCUUGACCUAUGCAAGAUGCCUGGAGACUGGAAUAGGUGAAUGACUUGGUCCCUAUUCUUCAGUAGCUCACUCAGUUUAAGGAGAUAAGUAAGAUGCAGGAAAAUGGAAAAGGAGAUUUUAAUACAUAUGCUGUUUCUCUCAGUAGUAGCCCCAUCUUAGGAAUUUAUUCUAUAGAUAGGCAACACCCAGUCAUCAACAGAUGUACUUGCUGUUAAUCAUUGUCAAAGCCAAUAACCUAAAUGUUCAGCAUUAGGGACUUGAGUAAGCAUAGGCCAUAUGGUACUAAUAUGGAUCCAUCUCUAAGUAAAGUGAAGAAAGAAAUGUAUGGAACAAUGUUUCAUAUAUUGUUUUUGUAGUUUUAAAAAUACAGGCGUACACAUGCUUGUAAAUGUAUAUUCCUGCAUUGUUCACUAACCCAUGUGGCUAUGAAGUCCUUGAAAUGUGGCAAGUUCAAGUUGAGAUAUGCUGUGAGUGUAAAAUGCACAUUGGAUUUUGAAGAUAUCCAGGUUUUAAAGCUAUCCAUUGGAUUUUGAAACUGUCAAAAAGUAUGUAAAAUAUCUCAUUAAUAAUUUUAUUGACAUGUUGCCAUGUUCAGAGUUGUCUCCUGUGUUUCUUUUUAUUUUUUAUUUAUUUAAUUUUUUUGCAAUGUUGAGGAUUGACCCCAAGGCCUUGGGCAUGCUAGGUAAGCACUUUACCACUGAACCAUAUCUCCUA